GACGAACGUUGGCGGCGUGCUUAAUACAUGCAAGUCAACUGAAGCACCGGUAGUAAUACUGGUGUGGAGGUGGCGCACGGGUGAGUAACACGUAGGUAAUCUGCCUUCAGGUCUGACAUAACCCCGAGAAAUCGGGGCUAAUAGCAGAUGAUGCAGCGGCUUGACAUCAAGACAGUUGUUAAAGCUUCGGCGCCUGAAGAUGAGCCUGCGUCUGAUUAGCUAGUUGGCGGAGUAAUAGCCCACCAAGGCGACGAUCAGUAGCUGGUCUGAGAGGAUGAUCAGCCACACUGGAACUGAGACACGGUCCAGACUCCUACGGGAGGCAGCAGUAAGGAAUAUUGCUCAAUGGGAGAAAUCCUGAAGCAGCAACGCCGCGUGAGGGAUGAAGGGCUUUUGCUCGUAAACCUCUGUAGUGAGGGAAAAAAUUUCCAUUCUAUGGAAUAUGAUGGUACCUCAAAAGUAAGCCCCGGCUAACUACGUG
rnacentral:rRNA from 1 species